rnacentral:lncRNA from 1 species
UGCGGGUUUGAGUCCUUGCUCAGGGUUCAGUAGUGUAUGUUCUGGAAGUAAGAUUGUCUUAAGCCAAACUUAAUAGCAUUUGUAAUAGAGUUUGCCUUGUGUAUAUUUUAAUAGCUGAGGUAGCAUGUUAAGUGUAAAGGAAAUAAAUUCUGUAUAAAUUCUGUAUAUCAAAUUAAAAAUAGACUAACACUCCAGCCAUUGAGUGCCACAAAUUUUUAGUGAGAUACAGCCUAGAAUCUGGAAAGCCUCAUAUUUUAUUGUUAGUGAAGUGAAGCAGCAGAGAGAUGAUGGAAUAGUGGUGUCUUUUGCCCAGACUUAGGAAAACAACCUGCUACUAAACCAGUUUGACAGAAACCUUCUUACAUAAGCCCUAUAGGAUCACUGUUUUUUUUUCAAUUGCCUUAAAAAGGAA